rnacentral:piRNA from 2 species
UCUGUUUUAGCUUUGGGAUGAUGGUCAGA